CUGCACAAAGCAAAGAAAAGGAGCAAGGUCUUCAGCGGAGCACGGAGGCAGAACUACAUCCUCAGUGGAGCAAGAUGGCAGAGUGAUGUCCUCAACCGAGCAGUAAGGUGGAGUGAUAUCUGAAGUGGAGCCUGGCAUAGUGACAUCCAUAGGUGAAGCAGGGAAGAAAAGCGGAGCUCUUGGCUGCACCGGGAGGUGGAGCAACAUCUUCAGCUGAACAGGGAUGCUGGGCGGCAUCCUCAAAUGAGCAGUUAAGCUGAACAACAUUCUCUGUCGACUCAGCAGACUGGACAAGAUCCACAGUGGAGGAGGGAGUAUGGGAGAUGGUUCCAGCCUGGUUAAAAGGCUCCUCCUUGACAUACCUCAUGAUGGAGUACAUCAUGUUGAGCCACUCCUGGUUGGAUCGAAUUAAGGUGCCCGUCGUCAUUUUUUCUUCUCUCUUUUCCUGGAGGGGAUGGAUUUGGAUCUGAACACUCACUAUCAGCUCGCGCAUCUCACUGCUGACAUCAUGGUGCUACUUAACAUUCUUCGCAGCACCCCCUCUGGAAAUGGAAAUGCGGGGUCCCGUCCCCCCCUCAGAUACAGAAUCCACCCCGUGAAUGUGUGUAUUGACGCCUCUACACAGACCAACGCUCCCUCCAGCUUUCAGUCUGAGGAUGAUGUCACCUUCUCUGAUCUGGGCUCUGACCAUUCUUCCCUCUUCUCACCUGUCAGUCCGCCAUCCUCUCAGUGGUCUCCUUAUUUCACCUUUGCUGACUAUCCCAUGUCCCCAGGACACACCCCAUUUUCUUCCCCCUACCGCUCUCCUCAAGAUUACGCACCCACCAGUCCUGUGAAUUUUCAAUAAAAUUACGUAUUACUCAUACUAGGUCUCCCUCAUGUUUAUUUCAUGUCAUUUUUAUCCACAACAUUGUACACUGGUAUUUGUUAAGGUCCGUCAAUAAAAGUUUAAAUAUCUUAUGUUGUGGAUAAAAAAUGUCAUAAAAUAAACAUAAGGGAGACCUAGCAUCCAGCAAAGGGGAGAAGAAGAAGAGACGGGCACCUAGACACAUAGAAGCGGGAUUAGGCGGACAUUGACAAAUUGGAAUUACACUUUAAAGAUCUUUAAGAGCAGUAAUAGUCAAAAAAGUCAAAAAGAGGUAUACGAGCUGAGCUGAGGAGGGCUAAUACACACACACACACACGCUCGUACAGUCAAGGGCGGGCAAGUAGACACAACAUACACACACACUCUCUCUUUCUCAUACACACACGAAUAACUUUAAUAAUAUCUUAUAGUAAUAGAGAAACUCUAUAAAAAAACAGAAUAGUAGGAUAUGCAGGACAGUAGAACUGUAAUGAUAUUAAGAAGUUGGAAGUACAGUAAACUGCUUUUCAAGUAGUAUAAAUAUAUAUAAAAUAAGAAAUAUAGUGCAAAUAUGAAAAUAAAUUAUAAACGAGAAAUACAGGAAAAAUAUAACUUACUCAUGAUUCAGAUGGUGAAGAUUCUCGUCUCGCAAGGAAAGCCUUAAUUUUUAGAGAACCAUGAAGAGAGCCAGUUAUAAGGGUGGGUCAAACUGCCCCCCCUCGAGAUAACGAUAAGACCAAGGUCCCUCCAGGUUGUUUAGUCUUGUCUACGUCAUCUUAUAUCCCCUAGGUAAAUGAAAAGUGAAUUUUCUGAGGCCCUAAGGUAACUGAGAAUUAUGGUUUCUGAGGCCCUAAGGUAACUGAGAAUUAUGGGUUCUGAUGCCCUAAGGUAACUGAAGACUCUGGUUACUGAUUCUCUGUGUAAUUCAAAACUCUGGGUUUUUAUUUUCUGGGUUAUUAGAAAUGCCUGGGUUCUGAUUUUAUGUGUAAAUUAAAACCCCUGGUUUCAAUUCUAUGUGUAAGUGAAACAGCCCUUUUCUGGAACAUAAGAGUAAGGUAAAUGAGCUCUUUUGUAACCCUAUUGGUAGUGAGAUCAUAGUCUUCUUGAAACAUAUGGGUUAUUUAGUGUGUAAGUACAGUAUAAAUACUGGAGCUUAAGCUCAGGGUAGGGGGAUCACUUUUGAGAAUUCUCAUCGGUGUGGAUCUUGUGUGGUGGAAUGGAACAAAAAGCUGGACCCUUGCUUCUUCUCACUCACGGCUGGUGUAUUUUUUCUAUCUCCAACUGGUCUCAGAGGUAAAUGUGAGUAUUGGCUUCUAAGUUGAAUUUUAAAUGUUUUUGGGUAAUAGGCUAAAUUUGAGCCAACACUGACCAUUCUUCCCUCUUCUCACCUGUCAGUCCGCCGUCCUCUCAGUGGUCUCCUUAUUUCACCUUUGCUGACUAUCCCAUGUCCCCAGGACACACCCCAUUUUCUUCCCCCUACCGCUCUCCUCAAGAUUACGCACCCACCAGUCCUGUGAAUUUUCAAUAAAAUUACGUAUUACUCAUA